rnacentral:rRNA from 1 species
GACGAACGCUGGCGGCGUGCCUAAUACAUGCGAGUAGAACGCACAGUUUAUACCGUAGCUUGCUACACCAUAGACUGUGAGUUGCGAACGGGUGAGUAACGCGUAGGUAACCUGCCUGGUAGCGGGGGAUAACUAUUGGUAACGAUAGCUAAUACCGCAUAAUAUUAAUUAUUGCAUGAUAAUUGAUUGAAAGAUGCAACUGCAUCACUACCAGAUGGACCUGCGUUGUAUUAGCUAGUAGGUGAGGUAACGGCUCACCUAGGCGACGAUACAUAGCCGACCUGAGAGGGUGAUCGGCCACACUGGGACUGAGACACGGCCCAGACUCCUACGGGAGGCAGCAGUAGGGAAUCUUCGGCAAUGGACGAAAGUCUGACCGAGCAACGCCGCGUGAGUGAAGAAGGUUUUCGGAUCGUAAAGCUCUGUUGUAAGAGAAGAACGGGUGUGAGAGUGGAAAGUUCACACUGUGACGGUAUCUUACCAGAAAGGGACGGCUAACUACGUG